CACCGCGGUUAUACGAGAGGCCCAAGUUGGCAAAAACCGGCGUAAAGCGUGGUUAAGAAACUUCACCCCCUAAAGUUGAACCCCUCCUAGGCAGUUAUACGCAUUAGGGGGUGUGAAACCCUUCCACGAAAGUGACUUUAACUUAUUCCGAACCCACGACAGCUAAGAAA
rnacentral:rRNA from 1 species